UAAUACAGAGGGUGCAAGCGUUGUUCGGAAUUAUUGGGCGUAAAGCGAGUGUAGGCGGGAUGGCAAGUCGGGUGUGAAAGCCCUCAGCUCAACUGAGGAAGUGCGCUCGAAACUACCGUUCUUGAGUGUCGGAGAGGGUGACGGAAUUCCCGGUGUAGAGGUGAAAUUCGUAGAUAUCGGGAGGAACACCAGUGGCGAAGGCGGUCACCUGGACGAACACUGACGCUGAGACUCGAAAGCGUGGGUAGCAAACAGGAUUAGAUACCCUGGUAGUCCACGCCGUAAACGAUGAGUGCUAGCUGUAGCGGGUAUUGACCCCUGCUGUGGCGAAGCCAACGCAUUAAGCACUCCGCCUGGGAAGUACGGCCGCAAGGCUA
rnacentral:rRNA from 1 species